rnacentral:rRNA from 2 species
CACCGCGGUUAUACGAGGGGCCCAAACCGAUAUUUAACGGCGUAAAGCGUGAUUAGAGACACCAUAAACUAAAGCAGAACAUCCCCCAAGCUGUUAUACGCUAACGGAAUGAUUGAAUUCCCACAACGAAAGUGGCUUUAAAACUCUUGAACUCACGAACAUUAAGAAA